GCCAGACUCCUACGGGAGGCAGCAGUGAGGAAUAUUGGUCAAUGGGCGGGAGCCUGAACCAGCCAAGUCGCGUGAGGGAAGACGGUCCUACGGAUUGUAAACCUCUUUUGCCGGGGAGCAACGGGGUCCUUGCGAGGGCCCGAUGAGAGUACCCGGAGAAAAAGCAUCGGCUAACUACGUGCCAGCAGCCGCGGUAAUACGUAGGGAGCAAGCGUUAUCCGGAUUUACUGGGUGUAAAGGGCGCGUAGGCGGGAUGGCAAGUCAGAUGUGAAAUCCGGGGGCUCAACCCCUGAACUGCAUUUGAAACUGUCGUUCUUGAGUACUGGAGAGGUUGACGGAAUUCCUAGUGUAACGGUGAAAUGCGUAGAUAUUAGGAGGAACACCAGUGGCGAAGGCGGUCAACUGGACAGCAACUGACGCUGAGGCGCGAAAGCGUGGGGAGCAAACAGGAUUAGAUACCCCAGUAUU
rnacentral:rRNA from 1 species